GAUUAAUGCUGGCGAGAUGCAUAACACAUGCAAGUCGAGCGGUAACAGGAAGAAGCUUGCUUCUUCGCUGACGAGCGGCGGACGGCUGAGUAACGCGUUGGAACUUGCCUUGAACUCAGGGAUAAGCACGGGAAACUGUGUCUAAUACCGGAUACCCCAGCAAUGGGAAAGCGUUUAGCGGUUCAAGAGAGGCCUGCGUUCUAUUAGGUAGUUGGUGAGGUAAUGGCUCACCAAGCCUCUGAUAGAUAUCUGGUGUGAGAGCAUGACCAGACAGAAUGGGACUGAGACACGGCCCAUACUCCUACGGGAGGCAGCAGUGAGGAAUUUUUCGCAAUGGGGGAAACCCUGACGAAGCAAUCUCGCGUGCAGGAUGACACCUUUCGGGGCGUAAACUGCUUUUAUGAGGGAAGAAAAUCUGACGGUACCUCAUGAAUAAGGGACGGCUAACUACGUGCCAGCCGCCGCCGUAACAC
rnacentral:rRNA from 1 species